CAAGUCCCGCUCCUCGCAGCCGCAUCCCCGUCUCCCGCUCCCCGCCGCCGCUGUCCUCCUCUCCGGCGAGCUACCGUCGCCCCGCUCUGGGUAAUCAAGGCCAGGGACGAGCAGUGAGGCAAAAACGAGCGGCUCUGGCACGGAUGCGCUCGCCUCGUCUUCGUCGGCUCCGGCGAGGCAGGGCCAUGGGUGUCGGCCGCGGCCUUCCUCGGAGGUGCGCUUAUCGUACCUCGUGGCGUCUCCAUCGCCGGGAAUAGGGCAGCUGUACGCUGCACUCCUCUCCCUCGUGCGGCUCUGGAUGGCAUGGCCACGCUCGCCUCGGUCUUCGUCGGCUCUGGCGAGGCGGGCCGUGGGUGUCGGCCGCGUCCUUCGUUGACGGCGCGCUGGCAGUACCGGUCUGGAAUCAUCUCCUUCUCCCCGUGCAGCUCAUCCUCACCGGCGGGAGGAGCAUGGGCCACGACCGACACCUGCCAUGGCACCCCUGUCCCGGCCCUCAACACCAAGAACAAGUCAACUACUCCACUUACAGACUCAUCAAGAGAUGAUAGAAGGGACUCAGGCAAGGAGAGAUGGCAUUGAUUUGCACGCACUGGAGCAUGUGUCUGAUAGCUUGAUUAAGUUGUUUGCACUGUAGGAUUUCUUGCUCAUGUCUUAUUCAAAAUCGAGUUGGGUGAAUUGCACAAUUGCACUAGUGCAUAUGUGCUUCUGCAGCAGGUCACUGUCCAUUUGCCCCACUAGCUCUUGGUGAGAGAUAAAACUAUGUUGUUCCAAUGAACAUAAUUUUCCAUUUAUAUGUGAGGGCUUCAUUAUUCUCCAAAAUCAAUUGAAGAUUGAUCUGAACCAAGAACCAACUGUGUAUACGAUGCAGGGUAAGCAUGAUUGGAUGGUAGGUAUCAUUUUAUUCUAAGUUUCCUUCUAGAUUCGGAAGAACAAUUGUAAUCUAUGCUUUGGUAGCUUUUGUAAAACAUAUGGUGCUACUUGGUACUUGAUACUACAGUGCCAAUUGAUUCCCAUUUGUUCAAAGGAUAAUAGGAUGCCCCAAUUGUCAAUGUUGACAUAGCUGUACUUCCAUAUAUUCAUUUAGACAAUUUAUUUGACACGCAAUAUUGACUUCAUUUAUUUGCUUAUUUGUUUAAAACUGAACCUUUCAUGAAAUUCAUGGUAACAACAUAUGUUUCUAGAUUGCUUAUCUUUUAGUUCUGUUUGGAAGUACGAACUAUAAAUUGAUAUUUACCUGGUUAUAUAAUUAUUUAGUUCAUUAGGAAAUAUGAAGGUAAUUACUAUAAAGCUACCGUACAAGUUUAGCCUUGGUUCUAUUCCUUUUUAUGUUCUAGCUCGGUUUACCGCUUACAUAGUUGGUUUGUUCUUACAUUUUUUUUGGCAGGUGUUCUUAUUGCUCAGUAAUUUGUGUGGUGUUUUGCAACUUUGAAGUUUCAUUUGUAGCCUGAAUGUGUUAAUACAAAAGUGUGACUUUAGUACCAAAAAAUGCAUUAUUCAGAGAGCAGCUGCAGGUGCAUAUAUAUCUUUUUGCUGGUUUAUUUACAUCAAAACUCAUGAAAAUCAAGCCACAUGGCUCCAUCUAUAUUGUCCUAUGUAUAUUGGUAAAUCAUUAGAUAGAGUAUCACUCUGUUUAUCUUGUUCUAUGUAUAUUGAGAAGGUUAAAAAAGAGAAGCCUGGCUUUUAUUUUGUGUUGUUGGUGGUCUGUUCAAAAGGAAGGUAUGAUAUCUAAACUGCAAAGCAUUUCUGUGUCCAGUAUUGACUCUGAAACAUAUAUGCAUCAGUUUUCUUUGUGGUUGAUUUAUGUAAAGAAGGUAUGAUGUCUAGGUAACUGCAACACAUUUCUUUGUAGUUGAGAUUCGGUGCCAUGAUUCUGUUGUUGGUUUGAAGCUGAUUUGGCCAGACAUGACCAAGGUGUAUUUGGAGGAAGAUAAUGAAGUUCUUAUUGCUUGGUACCUGAUGUAUUUUGGUUCAGCUGCUCCUCUGUGUUGUCUAAUGAUUUUACCAAUUACAUAUUACAACCACUGGUUGCAUUGUUUCUGAAUCGUAUUGUGUGGUAUCCAUAAAUAACAAUUGAACCCGUGUUAUUUUCAUGCAACUUCAUUGUAUAGUUAGUACUUGUAUCCAUGGUGGCCUUAUUGCUAAAGUGAACCACCGCUGAUUCACACAGCAUUGAUUCUAGCUACAACAUGUAUAGCACAAUAAACUUUGAGCAAAUAAUUGAUGCUAGCUACAGAUGGUGUCUAGGAGCAUUUCUCACAUUUUCGUGUAAUCAUUCUAAUUCAAAUACUGACUGGGAUGGAUAUCCCCCAAUCCAAUCAAUUUUUUGUGGUUUGAGAUAUUUUCUUCAAUGAUAUUAACAUCUAUGCAUCCAUUUCAUUUUCUCCAGGUCAUGAUGAAAUUCGUAUGCCUAGAGCUCCUAGAGCUUUAGUUGUUCCAGUCUGGAACUCUGGAUUAUAAUGGCAUAAGCUACUGGGCACUUAUUUCCAGUGAAGUACAUUUUAGAGAUAUUCCACCGAUUUCACUCACUUCCUAUAUAGGUCAGUUGCUCUACACCAUCUAUGCCUGCAUCACCAUCAUCAUUACUUCGAGGUGACGCUCGAUCCCUGUUGCAUCUCUAUCUCUCUCCCUUUUGGUCAGUUUUACGAAUCCACCGUUUCCCAAUUUCUUUGGUUCUUGUGGUGCAGAUGAGGCUCUUUUCUGCAAGAUUUAGAAGUGUGCAUGCUAUCUAAUAUGUGCUUUUCAUGUUUGGAUAAAUUAUGGCUCUAGAGAAAUAUUGUUUUUCUAUGGUCAGGAACAAGCUAUCAUGGCACACAGUUCAAAGGCUUGGUCAGGAAAGGAUUAAUUUUAUAUUUACUGCAGUGUACAAUACAACACUUUUCGUUGAAAUUAGUUCAGAUUAAGGUGUGCCGUUUCCUGAAACAGCUAGCACUAGGUCUCCUAGAUUUACAAGGUGCAACGUGGAGAAGUUCACCACUAUGGGAUGUUAUGAGGUUGCCGCUCUGAUCAAAGGAACCGUCUUAGGUUUGGUAUUUUGGUUCGCAUAUCGACAUCUUUUUUUUAGAUCUACAUACUGACAUCCUGACAUGGAAAGAGCGACUGAAAAUUUGAGUACCACAUACUGACAUCCUGAAGUCGCUCAUUUCAGGAAGACAGUGAUUGUGAUUUGUGAGGAGAGACCAAGAUAGAAGGAGAGUUGGGUAGAGGAACGGUGAGGGAGGACAUGCCGCGAUCUGCAAGUACCAUGGACGAGCUGAUGAUGAACAUGUGCGUGGAGCUCUCUUUGUAUGCAACAUCGUAGGCCUCCUUGGCUUACACGAAGGAUUAUAUCUCUUUGUACCCUUCAAUAUUAUUUUCCGCUAUCUUCGACUACUAUUCUUUAACAUGCCGUCCAUUGUUGUGUUAGUUUCUGAGGAGGAAUACUUUUGCUGCCGCUCAUUUCCCCUGCCCGCGCUGCAGCUAAUCGAAAAGAAUGCAGGCUGAUCAUUGAUUCAAACCGUUCCAGGUUUAAAGGUAAUGUUUUACAUGUUACGAUGCCUUCGGUUCGUAACGGUGAAGCCAAUGGACAUGCAGUUGAGCUGACGGAUAGCAUAUUUGCCAAGGAUACACCAGUUUUCCCAGAAAUAGCGGUCGAACAUCUACCUAUGCUAAGUGAUAAAAAAUAUGGGAUAAAUCAUGUGGAAGACGUGACUGAUGCCGAUGGUAACAAAAACAUCACUUGAUUCUCCGUUAGGAAAGUUGCCUAAUAGGUGACACGGGUCACCGAUAGUUGUUUUCUUCAUGUUAUCUACGUGACAUGGAAUUUUAGGGUUAUCUUCCUCUCUUUUGCUAUGGCAUUGUACAUAUGAAUCAAGCAUGCGAUGCAUGGUUGUCUUCUGCAUCUCUUCUAGGUGGUGGAUCCACCCUUCCGUGCCCUUUGUUCUCUACGACAGAUUUUGCUUCAUGCUGCUAUCACUUCCUUAGUUAUGAAAAGAGCUUGUGUAUAUUCCUGGUUCACUACCUCUUUGCUCCGCUCUUAUUUUUAGUUCUUUUUAGUUUGUGCUACCUCGCAUACUUUGUUUGGGGAAAAGAAUUUGUUGGGGUAUUUAAAAUUUAUAAGAAAUGGA